UACCUGCAGCUCGAGUGGUGAUCGUUAUUAUUGGGCCUAAAACGUCCGUAGCCGGUCUUAUAAAUGCCUGGGUAAAUCGUAUGGCUUAACCAUACGAAUUCCGGGUAGACUGUUUGACUUGAGACCGGGAGAAGCUAGAGGUACUCCUGGGGUAGAAGUGAAAUUCUGUAAUCCUAGGGGGACCACCAGUGGCGAAGGCGUCUAGCUAGAACGGGUCUGACGGUGAGGGACGAAGCCCUGGGGCGCAAACGGGAUUAGAUACCCCGGUAGUCCAGGGUGUAAACGCUGCUUGCUUGAUGUUAGUCUGGCUCCGAGCCAGAUUAGUGUCGGAGAGAAGUUGUUAAGCAAGCUGCCUGGGAAGUACGGCCGCAAGACCGAAACUUAAAGGAAUUGGCGGGGGAGCACAGCAACGGGUGGAGCGUGCGGUUU
rnacentral:rRNA from 1 species